rnacentral:rRNA from 1 species
CCUACGGGGGGCUGCAGUAGGGAAUAUUGGACAAUGGAGGCAACUCUGAUCCAGCCAUCCCGCGUGAAGGAUUAAGGUCCUAUGGAUUGUAAACUUCUUUUCUCUGGGAAUAAAAACUCCGUUUCUACGGAGCUUGAAGGUACCAGAGGAAUAAGCACCGGCUAACUCCGUGCCAGCAGCCGCGGUAAUACGGAGGGUGCAAGCGUUAUCCGGUGUCAAGGGGGCGUAGGUGACCGUAGAUGGCUUUGUUGAAAUGUCGCAGCUUAACUGCGAAACUGCCAUUGAUACUGUUUAGCUUGAAUCAAGUUGAGGUGGAUGGAAUAUUACAUGUAGCGGUGAAAUGCUUAGAUAUGUAAUAGAACACCAAUUGCGAAGGCAGUUCACUAAACUUGUAUUGACACUGAGGCUCGAAAGCGUGGGGAUCAAACAGGAUUAGAUACCCUAGUAGUC